AGGACGAACGCUGGCGGCGUGCUUAACACAUGCAAGUCGAGCGGUAAGGCCCUUCGGGGUACACGAGCGGCGAACGGGUGAGUAACACGUGGGUGAUCUGCCUCGCACUCUGGGAUAAGCCUGGGAAACUGGGUCUAAUACUGGAUACGACCAGGGACUGCAUGGUUUCUGGUGGAAAGGUUUACUGGUGCGAGAUGGGCCCGCGGCCUAUCAGCUUGUUGGUGGGGUAAUGGCCUACCAAGGCGACGACGGGUAGCCGACCUGAGAGGGUGACCGGCCACACUGGGACUGAGACACGGCCCAGACUCCUACGGGAGGCAGCAGUGGGGAAUAUUGCACAAUGGGCGAAAGCCUGAUGCAGCGACGCCGCGUGAGGGAUGACGGCCUUCGGGUUGUAAACCUCUUCGACAGGGACGAAGCGCAAGUGACGGUACCUGUAGAAGAAGCACCGGCUAACUACGUGCCAGCAGCCGCGGUAA
rnacentral:rRNA from 1 species